UACGGAGGGAGCGAGCGUUGUUCGGAUUUACUGGGCGUAAAGGGCGUGUAGGUGGGUGAUUAAGUCAGAUGUGAAAUCCCUUUGCUCAACGGAGGAACUGCAUUUGAAACUGACCAUCUUGAGUGUAGGAAGAGAGAGUGGAAUUUUCGGUGUAGCGGUGAAAUGCGUAGAUAUCGAAAAGAACACCAGUGGUGCAAACGGCUCUCUGGCCUAACACUGACACUGAGGCGCGAAAGCUAGGGUAGCGAACGGGAUUAGAUACCCCUGUA
rnacentral:rRNA from 1 species